rnacentral:rRNA from 1 species
GGGGGGGGGGGGGGGGGGGGGGGGCGGGGGGGGGGGGGGGGGGGGGGGGCGGCGGUGGGGGGGUGCUCGGGUGGCGGGCGGGGGGGGGACGCGGGGGUAACCUGCCCUUGCCUUUGUGGUGACUUCAGGCACCUGGGGCUACUACCGGCUAGGAGCUCCUACUGCAUGGUUGGGCUUGGGACAUUUCGGCGGUUGGGGAUGGACUCGCGGCUUAUCAGCUUGCUGUUGGGGUAGUGGCUUACCCAUGCUUUGACGGGUAGCCGGCCUGAGAGGGUGACCGGCCACAUUGGGACUGAGAUACGGCACAGACUCCUACGGGAGGCAGCAGUGGGGAAUAUUGCACAAUGGGCGGAAGCCUGAUGCAGCAACGCCGCGUGCGGGAUGACGGCCUUCGGGUUGUAAACCGCUUUCGCCUGUGACGAAGCGUGAGUGACGGUAAUGGGUAAAGAAGCACCGGCUAACUACGUG